GUCUAUGAUUAUGCUACCCUGAACAAGCCCAAUCCCAUCUGAUAUCUGAAGCUAAGCAGAGUCGGGCCUGGUUAGUACUUGGAUGGGAGAUCAGGUGCUGUAAGCA
rnacentral:rRNA from 1 species